CCUACGGGAGGCAGCAGUGGGGAAUAUUGCGCAAUGGGCGAAAGCCUGACGCAGCGACGCCGCGUGAGGGAUGAAGGUCUUCGGAUCGUAAACCUCUGUCAGCAGGGAAGAACGGGCACUGUGCUAAUCAGCAGUGAAUUGACGGUACCUGCAAAGGAAGCACCGGCUAACUCCGUGCCAGCAGCCGCGGUAAUACGUAGGGUGCUAGCGUUAAUCGGAAUUACGGGGCGUAAAGCGCUCGUAGGCGGUAUGUCAAGUCAAGGGUGAAAUCCCCGGGCUCAACGUGGGAACUGCCUUUGAAACUGGCAAACUGGAGUGUGUGAGAGGAUAGUGGAAUUCCAGGUGUAGGAGGGAAAUCCGUAGAUAUCUGGAGGAAUAUCAGUGGCGAAGGCGACUAUCUGGCACAUAACUGACGCUGAGGAGCGAAAGCGUGGGUAGCAAACAGGAUUAGAUACCCGGGUAGUC
rnacentral:rRNA from 1 species